rnacentral:rRNA from 1 species
CCGGUUGAUCCUGCCGGCGCGCACCUGCUAUCGGAAUACGAUUAAGGCAUGCGAGUCGAGAGGGGCAAGACCUCGGCAGACGGCUGAGUAACACGCGGGUAACCUGCCCUGGAGUGGGGGAUAAUCUCGGGAAACUGAGGAUAAUUCCCCAUAGGUGUGGUGUGGUGGAAUGCUUCCACGCUAAAAACCACGGUGCUCCAGGAUGGGCCUGCGGCUUAUCAGGUUGUAGUGGGUGUAUGGGACCCACUAACCUACGACGGGUAGGGGCGUUGAGAGAGUGAGCCCCCAGAUGGAUUCUGAGACACGAAUCCAGGCCCUACGGGGCGCAGCAGCCUACGAAAACUGCACAAUGUGGGAAAACCACGAUGCGGGUAAUUCCGAGUGACAACUGCAUUGCGUUGUCUGUUCUUUCGCCCAGAAA